CUAUGAGGAUGAUUUUAAAAAUUGAACUCUUUCUGAUGGAUUAGUGGAGAAAACACAAAAAUUCUUAGUAGC